CAGCAGCCGCGGUAAUACCGGUGGCUCGAGUGGUGGCCGCUAUUAUUGGGUCUAAAGGGUCCGUAGCCGGCUUGAUAAGUUACCUGGAAAAUCCGGUGGCCUAACCAUUGGGCGGCCAGGUGAUACUAUCAGGCUUGGGACUAGGAGAGACCAGAGGUACUCAUGAGGUAGGGGUGAAAUCCUGUAAUCUUAUGAGGACCACCAGUGGCGAAGGCGUCUGGUUAGAAUAGGUCCGACGGUGAUGGACGAAGGCUGGGGGCGCAAACCGGAUUAGAUACCCGGGUAGUCCCAGCAGUAAACGAUGCCAGCUAUGUGUUGCUGAAACCAUGGGUUUCAGCAGUGCCGAAGGGAAGCCGUGAAGCUGGCCACCUGGGAAGUACGGCCGCAAGGCUGAAACUUAAAGGAAUUGGCGGG
rnacentral:rRNA from 1 species